rnacentral:sRNA from 1 species
CACCGUUGCCCUUCGGGGCUUUCCUCCCUGUAUCGACUUAAGGCCGUGCGUUUUUCGCGCGGCUUUUUUUCGCGGAUGA